rnacentral:lncRNA from 1 species
CUCAGUCUCGAUCUCCUGACCUUGUGACCUGCCCGCUUCGGCCUCCCAAAGUGCUGGGAUUACAGGCGUGAGUCACCAUGCCCGGCCCGGCAGCUGGAUCAUCUUGAUGCCCAGGAGUUCCACCAGUCUGGCCAACAUGGUGAAACCCCGUCUCUACUAAAAAUACAAAAAUUAGCCGGGCGUGGUGGCAGGCGCCUGUAAUCCCAGCUACUCAGGAGGCUGAGGCAGGAGAAUCACUUGAACCCAGGAGGUAGAGGUUGCAGUAAGCCAAGAUCGCACCACUGCACUCCAGUACCUGAAAGAACUCGGGGAUGAGAAGUCAACAUCUGUUGAGUCCUGUGCGGGGGAGUGGAGCCAGUCACUUUUGUAAAAGAUACUUAAUUGAGUCACAAAGCUGAAGUACAGUGGCGCGAUCUAUCACAACUCACUGCAGCCUUGAAUUCCUGGACUCACGACACCCUCCUGCCUCGGCCUCCCAUGGAGCUGGGACUACAGGGGCGUGCACAACCACACCCAGCUAAUUUUGCGUAGAGAUGGGGUCUUGCUAUGUUGCUCAGGCUGGUCCCAAACUCCUGGGCUCAAGCGAUCUCCCUGCCUCGGCCUCCCAAAGUGCUGGGAAUACAGGCGUGAGCCACUUCGCCUGGCCUCAGUGAAACUUAUUUCACCGUGUUUUUCACUUACAUAUUUAGGUGUUCAUAAUACAGAUGUACUUCUCCUUUACUGGACUCCUUACAGAAAAAGACCCCAAAGCCUAUCACAGGGUCAUAGAUGCCCAGUAAAUGCUGCUGCACAUCACAGAAUUGGUGCUUUUUCCGAGAUCGCGGCCACGGAGCAGGCUGAAGAGUUUACGGUGCUCUCCUGGCCACCCCGGGGACGGCCUGGCCUCGGCCACAGAGAAAGCCGCAGUAAGGGGCCCAGGUUGGAGCCAGUCCCGCCCCAGGAGGUGCGCCUAACCCGGCAAGGCGGGUCCCCGUCUCUGGAAGCGAAGCUCACGUUACCAGAGGAGAAACUGAGGCCC